CUAGAGUGGUGCUGCAGAUGAGAGAGACUUGCCAAGGAGCAAAGUGCAGCAGUUCUUGUUCAGCAGGUCAUUUCUUGCCAGUUCAAAAGUCUGGAAAUCAAAGACUGCAGAAGCAAACUGCCUUAACCUUAACCACAGAUGUGCUGCCAUAAUUGCAGGUGUCGUUUAAGUGUGGAGCCAGGUCUGUUGUAACUGACUCUUUUUCUCUGCUAGAAUUAAUGAACAAAUCCUGCAGCAUCGUUGACUGAGCAAAUCAGCAGUCAGUUAAGUGCAUCCUGUCAGCAGAAGGUAAUUUUAAUGCUAGCCCAGUGGUCUCUCUAAUUAAAAGAAGCACUUAUUAUUUGUUUUUGGGAUUGUUUCCAAGAAGGAAAACAGAGUUCAGAAAGGCUUUCAGAGCUGAUUGCCUUCUGUGACCUGGUCUGUGCUUGAGACUGAUAUGAGGAGGGGGAGAGAGCAGAAUGAAGGAUGAGGAGGAGCAGAAAGCGUUGAAAAGCUCAGAUUAGUCUCUUCAGUAGAAGAGAAACAAAUCAGUGCCAAGAAUUAGAGAAAGAACAGACAAGGAGAGAACAGAAAGAGGAGCAGAACAAAAAAGAAGACAGACAAGACAUGACAGAUCGGGAGGGAGCAUGGCAAAAGACAGCUGAGUGACAGGUAGGGUGCUAAUACAGACAUGAAGACACCAUCUUGGGGGUCUCUAUGGGAGGCUAGAGAAGCAUCCAGUGAUGGUGACAUUGCUGUUGCUGUUUGCAGUGGAGAUGGGGGAGAUGGUCCCUGGAGGUCUCCUCUAGCUCUGCUGGCAGCCAAGCAUCCCAUAGCCCUGUUGUCAGCCUGUAUCCCACAGCAGCAUUCAGUGUAAUGGGGUCACAAGUGGGCAGUAUCUCCUCCCUUGUUCCUUGCUGGUCAGUGCUGGGAGUUACCCAGCUGAGGGCCAAGCCUGGCCAGCAAAGCAGUUUGUUGCACUGUAUCUGUAGAGAGAGAAAAAAAAUUCAACUCAGGACAUCCAUAGAAACUAGAGGAAUAUCUAUCCUACAGACCAUUUCAGGUGCUGAUAUCAUCAGUUUGGACAUGAUUUUGUCGAGUGCAUUUCCUGGUGCCACCAAGAUAAGACCAUGUUCAGGCAGCACAAGGUCUGUAGGCAGACAUCCUCAGAUGAUCUGACAUUAGUGGAAAAUUAGGAGAGCUCUUCAGCAUCCUAAUGCUUGUGAGUAGGAACAGCAGGCUUCAAAGCUAAAUAGGAGUUGAGAGGAGCUGUUAAGUACUUGAUUAGAUGUGCCUCCCUUACACUGUUUUGGGUGGACAGAUAGCAGGCACUGUAUUCAUGAGCAGUCAGGAUGAGUUUCUGUAGUUUUCCACUGCAGAAAAACUCUCAGGGAUCCCUCCAGGAUUCCCUGGUGAGUCGUGUGGCCCAUGUGCUGUUCAAUAGAAGCUUAGGUAAAUUCCUUAUUAUCAUUCAAUUCCUGGGGAGUUUCUUGUCUUAGACAUUGAAGUGAAUGGCCAAGAGUGGCAGAGAGUGACCACAAUGUACUCAAACACCAGACAUCAUUGCUUGCAUGCUGCAGAGUACUGGCUAUUCUUGUAUUAGAGCAUGUGAUUGAAUGUCAUGUUGAUGGGUGUAAUGUUUUCCUCCCUCCUGUAACUGGUUUGCACCAUGUAGAAAUCAAAAUCCACUUUUGAAAUCACUCUGGACACUGCCUGUUGUAAUGGAGCUGCGUAUGGGAUGAUGCACAGCACCUGUGUGGCUUUCUGCUCCUAUGGAGGAGUCAGCACCAUGCAGGAUGGGGCCUGCGGUGGCAUCAGUUACCGAGGAAACUGCCUCUAUAGAAGCGAAACACGUUUCUAUUAGCAACAGCAGCUCCAGCAUGUGUGUUAGAGCAUUUAAACACCUCAUUACUGAACUGCAUUUGUUUGUGGGCUUUUACACGUCUGCAUGCUGUACAGUGUGAGGUGAGAAAGUGGGCAGGUGAUGGAGCAGGAGGGGACCACAUGCACCUGGGAAGGAACUGGGGAGCUGCACACACCAGCAGAGCAGGACCAAUCUUAGAAAGGCAGGGCACUGCUGCCCUGUCUUGGGCACUACAUAGCACCCCAAAUGGGGAAACACUGACCCCAUAAGGAGGGAUUGGGUGCAUGAGGUGCAGUACUGUGAAGUGAGUGCGUGGCAGUGAGGAGCAGCUUUCAUCCACUGUGAGCAAAGAUGAGAGGCAUGGCUCUCACCUGAGAAAGCAGUUUGGGAAGGUUUUUUCCUAUUUACUCUGUGUCCCAAGAAGACUUUUAAAUUUCCUUUGGAAAAUAGGCUGCAAUCACACAGGGAAAUGGUGUGUGAAAGACUGGGGCAGUAAUCACCUAUGAAACGAACAUCCAAAGUGAGAUACAGACUAUAGGAACGUGUUUAAUGUGAACGUUGAGUUCCACUGCCAGAAAGGUUGCAUCUACAAGCAGGUGUGCUCUCAUUAAAGGAAAGAAGCCCAUGUAGCUCAGAGGGUGCAGGUGGUGAAAUUAAAUUGCGGUUCAUCUCAGGUUCUGACUUCUCCUCGCAUGCAGACAUCGCUCCCACUAACCUGAACUGUCAUUUUCCACAGUAGAGAAACUGACUCCAAAAGUAGUGCCGAGUGCUGACAGCUCAUUAGGUGCUGUUGUUUGGUAGCUCUCAGCAAGUCAUAAAAGCAGAGCCAAGCUUAGGGCAGCUCAGGUAGGGAGAUUAACAUUGAUAUCUGAAGCUGUCAUUCCCCCACAUUGUAUUUAUGUUGGGCACUUCUGGACACUUCUGGUGCAUCCUUCCCAGCUGGCAUGGCUCGCUCGCUACCAGGCUGACCCAGUGUGCCAAACUGUGUUUUGUUCUUCACAGAAUCAUGGAAAUGGGUUGGAAGUGACCCUUGAAGGCCAUCUCAUCCAAUGCCCCUGCAAUGAGCAGAGAUGCCCACAGUUCAGGCUUGUGGUUUUGCAUUUUAUUUUGUAUUUCUUGUGGUUUUAUAUGUCAUUUUGUUUCCCUGAGAGGGGGACAGUACCAUUUGUGUACUGUCAUGGUUGCAACAUGUGACUUUCAAACAGCAAAUCAGUUCCCUUUGUGUAUUACUGGGUCAGCCACAAUGAAGCAAGGGGCAAGGAAUGCAUCUGAGCCCUUCUGCUUGUGGAUGACAGAAACAUCUCCAGGGCAAAGCCAGGAGGAGUGUAAUCAUGCUGCUGUACCCACCUCUAAUUGCCUUCAUUCUCUGCAGUGAGAAGGUGCUGGUGCUGCUGAGACCCACCUGCCUGCAAAUCUGCUUCUCCUGAACCACCUAAUGUUGAUGAAUUACUAUAAAUGCACUUAUAAUUACUUGCCUAAUUAUAAGUGCCUUCACAAAUGAUUUUGCUAGCGCUUAAUGGAAAUAAAGUGAAACAUCUGAAGCUAUAGUAAUGGAAAUAUAGAGCAACACGAUAGCGUGGCAUUAACAAAUCCAAAGCUGACUGGUGUGAUAUUGGUGUCUCAAGAUCCCAUCCAUGGGUGGGCAGGCAGGACACAUAGUCUGACUGUGCAGCAGUAUAGGGUGCGAAGAGGGGAAGAGGCAGAACAUGGGAACAAUGCAGAGGAGAGAAACAAUGCAGGGCACGAAGCUCUGGGAGCCUUUUUAUAGUAUCAUAGAUCACCCCAUUUUGGAAGGAAUCCAUAAGGAUCACUGAGCCCAACUCCUGGCUCUGCACAGAAGCAUGGCACCACCAGAGAAAAUACACAGGUGGCUGUGUUUUUCCAUCAGCUUGCUAUUUUUUCUGUAACUGUUUUUUGUUGUUCUUUGCUGCCAGGUGCUCUGAACAAGGCCUCUGUUUUCUUUGUCUUUUUUUCUUCUACUAUGAAGUGGGAAUUGCAGAACAGUCAUAUCUGAAUGAAGAUGUUUCACUCCAACAUUUUGGCUUGCCUGGAAUGCAUUGAGUGAAGAGGAAUUGUCCUUGGCCACCUAUAACAUCUAUAAUUGGUUAAUGCAUCUUUGCAAUCAUCUGAGCCUGUGGAAACCUCAUAUCUCAACAUACAUGACCUGAUUCUCAACCUCGUGGUCUACAUCCAUGCUAAGGAACACCAGCCCCACUGCCAGCUCUGGGCACUCAGCUCAGCCUUGCUGACUCCUGUUGCCUUCUCUUCACUCUGGGAAUUGAUUUUCCUGCCAAGGCAACCCAAGAUGAUGAGGCAGAAGCUAUGGCAGCACUGUUCUCAUCCUGUGUCAGAGAGCCAAGGCUGGAUGUGUUCCUCCUGACACUGCCCUGAAGGAGACAGUGGGAGUGCCAGAGCAGUGCUGUCACCUGCCCCAGGUCUGUGGUGACAGUAAAUCUCCCAUGGAGAGUUCCUCCUGGGGCAGGACCAGAGCAGCCAUUCGGCACUGCUGUCUGUCGCUCCUUGCUUUUGCAGAGGUGAAUGAGGACUUGAUUCCAAACCAGCCUGCUGACGUACUGUGAGCCUUUCAUUCCUUGAGCCUGUCCCAGCGGGGACCAUGGAGCCUGGGCUGGCUGCUGGCUGCUCUUUGGCCCAUGGGAGUCCUCACGAAAGAAAGGCAGGAGUAUCUUUCUUAUGCAUGCUGCUCACAGUGUUGUCCACAACUGGCCAAAAUCCAUGGAGAGAGGCAAUAGUUUUGCUAGCCCAGAUGGAAGUUCUUUCCUUGGGACACACAGAAACUCUUGCUCGUAGCAUUGCACCAGCCUAGCUACACCACUACUUCUCUCAUUCCCAUGUAGGUAUGAUCUAUGUAAUGAUUUUGCUGUUUCCCCAUUGAUGUGGCUUAUUUUUACUGUAGCACUCUAUCUACUUCUGCUACUGUUAAGCAAAUCCUUCUGAUGCUGGACCAGAGAAGAGGCCCCUGAGACAUAAUACAAAGGUGAGCUUAGCUCCUUCUUAACUGCGUGGUCAGUCACUGGCACAGGCUGCCCAGGGAAGUGGUGGAGUCCUCAUGCCUGGAGGUGUUUGAGAACUGUGGAGAUGUGGCACAUGGAGACAUGGUCAGUGAGUAUGGUGGGGGUGGGUUGGUGUUGGAUUUGGUGAUUUAGUGGUCUUUUCCAACCUUAACGAUUCUAUAUACACAGAAUGAUUCUAUACACAUCAUCAGGAUUGAUGGUCAUAUUUGUAAAUCUAACCCUUAUUAAAUGUUCAAAUAAAGGCUACAGUAGGGUUGGUACACAACCCUACAGGUCUUCCAGGAGAGGACUACUCCGCUGAGCCUGUUAGACUUCCAUCCUGCCCUCUCUGGGUUGAUCACACAACUGAUGCAAAUGCCAGUAAGAAACAAGUGAAAAAGUUAGUAGGAAAAAAAAGAAAAUUAAAAAAAUGUGAAUUAUUCAGGUUUAUAUCAGAGAGGAAUCAGCAGAGUGCAGUAAAAUUGGAGUGUCAGAGGAGAGAGCAGCAGAAAAGCAUGAGUGUGUUUCUCUGUAUAUGACAUAAAGAGGUUGCAAGGGACCCCUAUGGGACUCUUUUUGGGAAUAUGAAGUCUGGACAAAAUAAUGUAGUAAUGAGACUAAUCCAAUGCCACAGAGGAAACAAGUGGCACUGAAAAUCCUUCAGACUCCUGUGGUCUGGCAGAUUCAAGUUUUCAGCCACAAUGUUCUUAAAAUCCCAAGUCUCUAAGAUCAAGAGGUGGUAUUAAUCACAAGUUUGCCAAGGGCAUAGAUCCAGGAAUCACAACUGCCUUCGUCAGCCCCUGUACCAGAGGGGAUUAAAGAAAAAUGAGUUUACUGGAGGCACUGUGGAGUUAGCACAAAUCAUCCUGGGGAGGAAUCUGUCCAUAAAUGGUACCUCUGUGCAAACAAAUAGAUUGGAAGAGAAAGAGCUAGGCAAAAACUGCAGCUUGUGCACAUGGCUUCGUUGAUCUUUCUGUGCCAGUGAAUGCCAUGUAAGAAUGUUUCCCUGGAGACCACUGAGGGCACUGCAGGUAAAUUCACCUUACUUGAGAUCACAGAGACCUCUGCAGACUCGUGGUAUCCACCCUACUAAUCUUCUUGUUUCUCUUGUUAAAAAUCCACAGCAGGGAAGAAAUUGCUGUGUCUAACUGACACUCGCCAUUUAUGCUGAGGGAAUAUCCAUCUGUUUCAGCCAUCCAAAUCUAUUCUCUGUUUUGUUAUCAUUUUCCAUUUCUAUGCUUUGUGAAAUGCAAUGGGUGGUGUUCUCACUUAUUUUUCCCAACUGGCAAUUGCUUUGCAGAUCAGGCUGCAAGCAGUCCUAUGACUUCCUGACAUGGCAGGGUUAUGAAAGUCCUGCCAAAGUGUCAUGCAGUCUCUGCUGUGAAAUCUGACAACUGAAGAGGUUUCAUCCCAGUCCUAGUAGUGAUGGGUUUUGAUCCCCUGUUAAAUGCACUUCUAUUUUGGCUCUGACAGGUACCAACAAAAUAAAUGAAAUCUGCAAUCCUCUGUGCAUAUGGGAGGGCAUUAGAUGAUUCAUUGGCUUCCAGUGUGCUAACAGGAUCCUUUGCACAUCUUGUGUUGCUUUAACGGGUAGUUUCAGCUGUGGGAUCAUUGCUAUAUUUUGUAGUUUUGUUCUAUCAUUAGCUGUUAAAGGAAUAGAAGACCACAGAUAGCUUGGUAUUAAACUACAAGUUCUUGUUUUUAUUGGCACCACCUGGGGAUUAAAACAGAUGCUGUCAUGCUGCACAGUUAGCCUCAAAGCAGGGGAGAUGUAAUGAUUAUGUGAUCAAAGCACCUUGCUUCAUUCAAUUGUGUAAUAACUACAAAUGGAAACAUUCUAAACAAGCAACAUUGGCUAUGAGACACACAGAAAGGAAAACCCAGUCCCCAAAGCCUGUAGUGAGUGUUUCAGGGAUGGCAAACCUUCCACAGCUUCUUCUGAGGAGAAAACCUGGGUAAAAGCUGCUGCAGAUGAUCCUGCAGUACCUUAUGGGCCAUGAAAAUACCCUGUAGUUACCAAGAGGGUAAUAUUGUGAAUGCCACGUAUUCACAAUGACCAGGUCCAUAUUUAUAAUAAAACCAUUUCAGUGACCUUUUGUGACCAUUUCAGCUCAUUCUGCUGUGACUGGUGGGUGUAUUCCUGCCUCCCUAAAGGCUGACUGGGACAUCUUCAUCCAAAGGAAGACGUAUUUACUUGGAAGAUGAAAGUCAAGGGACGUUUUCCAGCCCCUUCAGGCACUGAGCUGUUGGUGCACAGUUUAAGAAGUUGCCCUUGAGGGCUUUUGGACCUUGUCCUCCUUUCCCUCCUGCUACUGCCAGAUACAGAUUGGAGCAUCAACUGAUCAUGCUGUUCUUAUAGAAGAGCUGCAGAACAUGAAUGUCCUAAUGCAAGAGGUUGGUGAAACAUGAUGGAAAAUGCAGCUUUGGUGCCAUGCCUGGAUAACAGCAAGGGUGUUAAUAAGCACACAACGCAUGGCCAGAUACUGCUGAAAGCCACGAGCUGGAUUGCUUCUCAUAAAUGCCUUCAGCGUCUGCUCCUUGAACGAAAUUGGCAGCCCCUUUUUGGCUGAGGGCUGGCCUGCUUAUCAUCUCCAAAAGCUUCGGGUUCGAUGAUGCUGUGAGGUGUGACAAGGAGAUGGUGAUGCUCAGGGACCUGGGGAGAAAAGUGACCAGAAUGGAAGUCUCUGAGAUGUGAGCUCACGUGGCUGUGAGGUUGGGCAGAUUAGUGUGGCAGCUCUCUGAAGGAUUGUACUUCUGGCCUGGAAGG